GGCCGCAUGUUAAUGGGUGAGAAAGUUGCUAUACCAGAUGGAUACAGUGCAUUAUGUAUGUAUCAAAAGAAGCCCUUAUUUGAGAACAUGGCUCUCUAGCACACACUUGGGUUUGCAUGGGAAAGUACAAGCAAAAUCAGCCCUUCACAGAUUAUAUGGUUUCCCUCAAUUAAUAUUGAUGCCAUGAACUUAGUACACUUACUAAGUAGACAAGAUAAGUAUUCUUACCAAGGGCCUAGGAAGAUCAAUGAUUGGGAGGAGGAAUAUUCAUAUAUUCAUGAUAGGAAGUGUUAAGCUCUUUUGAAAUCCAUUGUUUUAAAACGAAUAUAACAUGCUUAUAUAAAUAUUGCUCUCUCCCCUCCCCCCCCCGAAUUAUCGAUCUUCUUGUUGUCUUGACUUUUACAAUUUUGCCAAUGACUUUUACUUAGUAGUAACCUUUUCAAGAUCUGUUAUCCUUUUUGGUUCACAGGAAUGAAAUGAAUCUGUGUAAGUUUUUUAUUUUAGGCUAUCUUCUCAGGGAGAAUCAUAAACCUGUCACUGAUGACCAGGAUAGAUCUUUUCGAGCUAUAAAAAGAUUUUCUGAAUUCACACAUUGGAAUCUUGAGGACAGGCCUUGUUUAAAUGACAAGAUCAGAAAGGCAAUGCAAUGGAUUUACAUUUCUUCAGCGAUACAUCAACCUGUGAAGACUGACACUGUUAUGGCAAAAAUUACAUGACAAUGGUCGAAGUGGUAAUUUCUAAUUCUUACCUCAGGGUGGAGAAGGAUGAUGUUUCAAAGUGUUCUUCCUCUGAUGAACUAGAAGAAGAAUGUACAUUUCAUUCAAUUUCAAUUUUUAUUGAAAGUUUAUCUCAAUCAUAAUUGAUCGUUAAUCAUUUAGUCCGAUUGAUUUCAAUCCAAACCAAAAUCUGUAUAUAACAUGUACAUUGGAAAGCUACCAUUGGUGCUGCUUUCUUUAACAUACGUAGAUUGUGGAAGAGAAAGUGAGUUGUGGAUUGCUUGAAUAGUGUUAUCUUUUGUCUGCAACACAUGCGUAUAGUUCUUUAAAUUACAGCGAUCUCGUGGUUGUCUUUUUAAUAAUAUUUUAUGAGUUUAAA